GCCGGCGGUGGCGGGCGCCGCGUGACUCCAGCGCGAUCGUGGCCAGCAGGCGGGCCCGUACCGGAUCGUGGCCGGCCGCGGGCA
rnacentral:tRNA from 1 species